AUACGAAGGGGGCUAGCGUUGUUCGGAAUUACUGGGCGUAAAGCGCGCGUAGGCGGAUUGGUCAGUUAGGGGUGAAAUCCCAGGGCUUAACCCUGGAACUGCCUCUAAUACUGCCAGUCUUGAGUUCGGGAGAGGUGAGUGGAAUUCCUAGUGUAGAGGUGAAAUUCGUAGAUAUUAGGAAGAACACCAGUGGCGAAGGCGGUUCACUGGCCCGAUACUGACGCUGAGGCGCGAAAGCGUGGGGAGCAAACAGGAUUAGAAACCCCAGUAGUCC
rnacentral:rRNA from 1 species